rnacentral:rRNA from 1 species
GGCGGGACACGUGAAAUCCCGUCGGAAGCAGGGAGGACCAUCUCCCAAGGCUAAAUACUCCCUAGUGACCGAUAGUGAACCAGUACCGUGAGGGAAAGGUGAAAAGCACCCCGGGAGGGGAGUGAAAGAGAACCUGAAACCGUGUGCCUACAAGUAGUCAGAGCCCAUUAACGGGUGAUGGCGUGCCUUUUGUAGAAUGAACCGGCGAGUUGCGAUUUCGUGCAAGGUUAAGCCGAAAGGCGGAGCCGUAGCGAAAGCGAGUCUGAAGAGGGCGAAAUAGUACGAGGUCGCAGACCCGAAACCAGGUGAUCUACCCAUGUCCAGGGUGAAGGCAAGGUAACACUUGCUGGAGGCCCGAACCCACGCACGUUGAAAAGUGCGGGGAUGAGGUGUGGGUAGGGGUGAAAUGCCAAUCGAACUUGGAGAUAGCUGGUUCUCUCCGAAAUAGCUUUAGGGCUAGCCUCAAGGGAAGAGUCUUGGAGGUAGAGCACUGAUUG